ACUUUAAUACUUUUUUAAUUCAUUAAUAUUUCAAUAAAAAAAUGACAAUUAGAUUUAAUCAAAAAGAACUUGACAAGAUAUGUCACUACCAUGUCACCAUCAAACCAAGUAUUACAUCUUGCGAACAUACCCAACACGAAUUUUACAAUGUUAAACGUAGUUUUAACAAAAUUUUAAAAGAAAUAGAUGGACAUGGAUGAUUACGACUCCAGAAUGUCAGUGACCACUCAUUUGGUUAUACUCAUUAUAAUACUCGGACUUCUUAUAGCUGUGGUUGUCCUUUUAGCACUCCUGUUACAAAAUUCUAAUGCGACAUUGCUGAUUACAAGACAAGAAGGUACCACUGAAAAUACAGCGUGCUCAAAGUGAAAAUCAAGGUUUCAAAAUAACGAAUACUACAAAAAGUAUCGAUUUUUUAGAUAAGAUAUUGUAAUAGGUUGAUAUAAAAUAUGUUUCAUUUUACUAACAAUUUAAUAUAACAUAUAUUGAUUUA